CGGCAGUUCGGAAAAUAAACGCAAAAAGUCCCCAUCCUUCAAGAACCCCGGCGAAGUUGCAUCGCUCAAAGUUUGUUUUCAAUUUUAUUAGCAAUUCUUAUUUAUAUAUUAGGUUGAAAUAAUGUGCUGUUGCUGUUAAAAACAGUUUUAAUGGUGAUUUCCUUUCAGUUGAAAAUGAAUCUAAAUCCUUUUGAGGGUUUUGGUCUUUAGCACAGCUUUUAUACCAAAUAAUGAUUUCCAUAUUUUGUUCAUUAUGAGUCGUAUUGCCUUACCUGUGAGAAGAAGGAAGGAAAUAUCAGCUUGGAUGGUUUACGUAACACCAUCGUUAUAUCGUACUGUGACAAACAUGCUUCUUCGACUCAACAGAGGAGAGCCAACAAUCCCUCAGCUUCUAGAACCUCAUCUUCUUGCAGCAGUGACUCAUCCAGUGCACCGCUUACUUCUAUCAAG